GCCCGACCUCCAACCCUUUGCUUACUUGACCUAUUUUGUUGCUUCGGCAGGCCCGCCGCCCGGAAACGGGUGGCCGCCGGGGGCGUUUCACCGCCCCGGGCCCGCGCCUGUCGAUGGCCCYAUUAAAACUCUUGUCAAUACGUGUCGUCUGAGUUUAUCUAAACAAAUAMAAACCAAAACUUUCAACAACGGAUCUCUUGGUUCUGGCAUCGAUGAAGAACGCAGCGAAAUGCGAUAAGUAAUGCGAAUUGCAGAAUCCGUGAGACAUCGAAUCUUUGAACGCACAUUGCGCCCUCUGGUAUUCCGGAGGGCAUGCCUGUUCGAGCGUCAUUAUCACCCCUCAAGCCCGGCUUGUUGUUGGAUGCAGCGCUUAUCCCGCUCCUCCCAAAGAUAAUGACGGCGUCUGCGACGACUCCUGUACACUGAGCUUUCGGGCACGUACACGGCUAGAAGUCCAGACCCGGUCGCCGUCCCCCCCGCGGGGACACCCAUUACCACAAGGUUGACCUCGGAUCWGGUAGGAAUACCCGCUGAACUU
rnacentral:rRNA from 1 species